rnacentral:rRNA from 1 species
GACGAACGCUGGCGGCGUGCCUAAUACAUGCAAGUAGAACGCACAGUUUAUACCGUAGCUUGCUACACCAUAGACUGUGAGUUGCGAACGGGUGAGUAACGCGUAGGUAACCUGCCUGGUAGCGGGGGAUAACUAUUGGAAACGAUAGCUAAUACCGCAUAAUAUUAAUUAUUGCAUGAUAAUUAAUUGAAAGGUGCAAUUGCACCACUACCAGAUGGACCUGCGUUGUAUUAGCUAGUAGGUGAGGUAACGGCUCACCUAGGCGACGAUACAUAGCCGACCUGGGGGGGUGGUCGGCCCCACUUGGACUGGGACCCGGCCCAGGCUCCUACGGGGGGCAGCAGUAGGGGAUCUUCGGCCAUGGACGGAAGUCUGACCCCGCCCCGCCGCGUGAGUGGAGAAGGUUUUCGGAUCGUAAAGCUCUGUUGUAAGGGAAGAACGGGUGUGAAGGUGGAAAGUUCACACUGUGACGGUAUCUUACGAGAAAGGGCCGGCUAACUACGUG